rnacentral:tRNA from 1 species
AGACCGGGCGGGCAGGGGGCAGCCCGUGGCGCUCAGGGUGCCGCUUUCAGCGACAGUUCCAGUCGCUCCCCGGGUUUC